CUUGUGUACAAUUUGGAAAUUAGUAUGGCGUUCAUUAUCAUUGAACUAGUAUAUAUUUGUUUAGGGGCCAGUUGAAGGACGCCUCCGGGUGCGGGAAUUUCUCGCUACAUUGAAGACCUGUUGGUGACCUUCUGUUGUUGUGUUUUUUUCUAUGGUCGGGUUGUUGUCUCUUUGGCACAUUCCCCAUUUCCAUUCUCAAUUUU
rnacentral:lncRNA from 1 species